AUGAGAAGGAUGAAGACCCAAACCGCUGUCCAUCUGAUGUGGCCACUGAUUUUAGUGCUACAGUUUGCUUGGCUUACAAAAGGCCUGAAUCACUUUAUAGUUCCUCAGAAUUUGACCUCGGAGACCGGAAAAACUGUCACCUUUGAAUGUGGUGUUGGUGGAUUGAAUGGGGAAAAAAUCCGGUUUUACAUUAUGGGUCCAAAGGUCAAUGAUUCCGUGUCUUGUCCAGGAGAAAAAACCAAGUACUUGCCUGCUCAGUCAAUGAAAGCCUACUGUUAUACAAAAUCUGGUGGAGAUGUAGCUGCUUGGGAAGUCGCAGGAACAUCAGAAGAUGACAAUGGCACUAUUUUUUUGUGCAAAGUCAAUACUGCAGAUGACAAAAUCGGAUACCUUUAUGUGUACGAGAAUGAUUCAUACUAUGCCAAGCUCAUUGGAUAUGUGAUUGGAGGAUUUUUAGCUGGUCUCAUUAUCAUCGUUGCGGCUUAUGUCCUGUUGAAAAGAUCAGAGAAAGUACAGCACUGCUUCAGUAAGUUUCUCAUUGUUCAUGUACUUAGCACACUAGAUUCUAUUCUGUUUUACACACUGGAAUAUAUCUAAUGUACAUGAAGAGAUACUGAGUUAUAGACAGAUAGUUUCUCAAGUUUGGUCUUGUUCUGCGUUUUUAGGGUCAGUGGGUGGAAUCCAAGAUGACGUGCAAUAGCCACAAUCUAAGCAAUACUGAAACCCCUCUCAUGCUCCUUACCAACAAAUGUGGAUUUGGAGGGCUAAUAAUAACAUAGCACAAACAUCGCAAUAUAAUAUAGGUUCUGCAGAUUUGAAAGAAAGGCCUGUGUUUCUCAGUUUUCAGUCUUGUCCAGUAGAGGGCGUGUUCACUUCUUUGUUCACAGCCAUGUUUUAGUUUCUCAUGUUCCUGGUUCAAAAUCCUUUUUUUUUUUUUUUGGUCACAGAGGAACAUUUUAAGUAACUAUAAUAUCUAAAUUUUAAUUUCGAACCCUAAUUUACACUAAAAUGUGAGGGAUUUUGAUACAGGAGUAUGUUCUAUUAGUUAAUCCACUUUAAGCAUCAAGCAACACCACCUUUCAAGAAUGUUUAUCUUACAAAUACACACAUUUGAUUAUCUAAUUGUGGAUCUGCUGUUUAAUGAAUAGUCAAGUACUCAGAAUGAAUGUGUCAUUGUCAUGCUGUUUACCAUAUUCAUUUAUUUUAGUUGUUUUUUAUUUUCAAUGUAAUGUAAAUUACUCACUGCUUUGAUUUCAUUUCAUUUUAUACUGCUUUAAGAGGCUAAAUGACAAAAUUCACAGCACACAUAUGAGGCUUUUGGGUUGCGUUGAGUAGAUCAAUAGGAGAUGGGUCAAUAUUGACACAGGUGGUUCUGUGCACCCUGGAACAGCCGUGUUUCUAUUCUACUACACUUUUCAUUGUAGAUAUCAGUCCGUAAGCAUUUAGUUUUAAAGUUUUAAAGGCUCAGAAACUGCGUAUUUAAUCCUGUUUUGAACCUUUGACUAUUUGCAUAUGUGCUCUGGCAUUUGUAAACACUCAUGAAGUCACAUUACAACAUACAAGCACAACAAUCAUCUGCUUUAGCUCACAGUCACAUUUAAUAUUAAUGUUGUAUGAUAUUUUCAGAAUGUGCUUGUAUCAAUUCAAAAUGUAAACAUUAUUGUAAACAUCUGAAAUGUAGACGAGAGCCUUUCAAAUCAGAUUAGACAGUCAAAUCUAAAACAUUUAUAUUGUUAUUUUUGGUUACAUUUUGACUUUAUUUUAAUGCUUUCCGUUCUCUUGAAAGACUCCAAUGCUGUUUGUGUAAAAAUAAUUGAAUUACCCUAUUAUUUUCUUUUCAAAUUCUUGUAAUAUGUUCCACUGACCUUAUCAAAACCCAGUAGACAGAUAUUAUUGAGGCUUCUACUCUCUGUUUUAUCAGCAUGUACUUUUCAUAAAGGUGAUUAUCUUGUAUACAGACUUUUGUUUGGGGUCAGUUUGACCAAUGUAUAAAUACAUUUUAGAAUAAUAUAAUAAAACGCAUAAGAAUCAGGACA
ensembl:lncRNA